rnacentral:rRNA from 1 species
UACAACUUUCAGCGGUGGAUGUCUAGGUUCCCACAACGAUGAAGAACGCAGCGAAAUGCGAUACGUAAUGCGAUGCAAGACCUCGUGAUCAUUAAGAUUUGACGCACAUGCGCUUUCGGGAUUUUCCCGGUAGCAUGCUUGUCUGAGUGUCUGUG